rnacentral:rRNA from 1 species
GACGAACGCUGGCGGCGUGCCUAAUACAUGCAAGUCGAGCGAGACUCUUCGGAGUCUAGCGGCGGACGGGUGAGUAACACGUGGGCAACCUGCCUGUAAGACUGGGAUAACACCGGGAAACCGGUGCUAAUACCGGAUAAUCCUUUUCCUCUCAUGAGGAAAAACUGAAAGUCGGUUUCGGCUGACACUUACAGAUGGGCCCGCGGCGCAUUAGCUAGUUGGUGAGGUAACGGAUCACCAAGGCGACGAUGCGUAGCCGACCUGAGAGGGUGAUCGGCCACACGGAGACUGAGACACGGCCCAGACUCCUACGGGAGGCAGCAGUAGGGAAUCUUCCACAAUGGACGAAAGUCUGAUGGAGCAACGCCGCGUGAGCGAUGAAGGCCUUCGGGUCGUAAAGCUCUGUUGUUAGGGAAGAACAAGUACCGGAGUAACUGCCGGUACCUUGACGGUACCUAACCAGAAAGCCACGGCUAACUACGUGCCAGCCGCCGCAGUAA